AGUUCACGGAUUCUUCUGAAAACAAGACAUUAAUCUCUUCGAUAUUUGUCGUUUGUUUAUUUAUUAUUAAUCCAUCAGUUUUAUCGUUUACCUGGAAAUCCGUUGCUAAGAGGUGGAGGAGAAUUUGCAUUCUUCUCCUUCGUGGCAUUUUCUAUUUUGCGUUGCGCAGCCUGCGACAAGAUACGUACCUAACUGACCUGAUGGCAUAUUGCGCAAGGUGACAUGUUAUACGAGUGUAAUCGUAGCAAUUGGAAUCAUUUUGCCCGACAGCAUCCACUUCGCUAGCAGUUAACGCACCAGCUAUGUCUGCUAGUUUUUGAUGUUGCGCCUUAUUCCAAUCGUCCAAUAAUAUUUGAACUAUUUCUAUACUAGGAGGCAUAGCUAUAGAAUCCGAAUUGAAGUCAAGUACAGGACUUGAAGGGCGGCUGUCGUUUUCGGAUGUAUGCG